rnacentral:rRNA from 1 species
AUUCCAGACUCCUACGGGAGGCAGCAGUGGGGAAUAUUGGGCAAUGGGCGCAAGCCUGACCCAGCAACGCCGCGUGAAGGAAGAAGGCUUUCGGGUUGUAAACUUCUUUUCUCAGGGACGAAGAAAGUGACGGUACCUGAGGAAUAAGCCACGGCUAACUACGUGCCAGCAGCCGCGGUAAUACGUAGGUGGCAAGCGUUAUCCGGAUUUAUUGGGUGUAAAGGGCGUGUAGGCGGGAGCGCAAGUCAGAUGUGAAAACUCAGGGCUCAACCCUGAGCCUGCAUUUGAAACUGUCAGGCUGGAGUGCAGGAGAGGUAAGUGGAAUUCCUAGUGUAGCGGUGAAAUGCGUAGAUAUACGGAGGAACACCAGUGGCGAAGGCGGAUUGCUGGACAGUAACUGACGCUGAGGCGCGAAAGCGUGGGGAGCAAACAGGAUUAGAUACCCCUGUA